rnacentral:rRNA from 1 species
AUUGAACGCUGGCGGCAGGCCUAACACAUGCAAGUCGAACGAGUGGCGGACGGGUGAGUAAUGUCUGGGAAACUGCCUGAUGGAGGGGGAUAAAUACUGGAAACGGUAGCUAAUACCGCAUACCAUCGGAUGUGCCCAGAUGGGAUUAGCUAGUAGGUGGGGUAAAGGCUCACCUAGGCGAGGAUCCCUAGCUGGUCUGAGAGGAUGAAUAGCCAAACUGGCACGGAGACACGGUCCAGACUCCUACGGGGAGCAGGAGUGGGGAAGAUUGCACAAUGGGCGCAAGCUCGAUGCAGCCAUGCCGCGUGUAUGAAGAAGGCCUUCGGGUUGUAAAGGACUUUCAGCGGGGAGGCGUUACCCGCAGGAGAAGCACCGGCUAACACCGUGCGAGCAGCCGCGGUAAUAC